rnacentral:rRNA from 1 species
UACCAAAUCUUGACAUCCUUUGACAACUCUAGAGAUAGAGCCUUCCCCUUCGGGGGACAAAGUGACAGGUGGUGCAUGGUUGUCGUCAGCUCGUGUCGUGAGAUGUUGGGUUAAGUCCCGCAACGAGCGCAACCCUUAAGCUUAGUUGCCAUCAUUAAGUUGGGCACUCUAAGUUGACUGCCGGUGACAAACCGGAGGAAGGUGGGGAUGACGUCAAAUCAUCAUGCCCCUUAUGAUUUGGGCUACACACGUGCUACAAUGGACAAUACAAAGGGCAGCGAAACCGCGAGGUCAAGCAAAUCCCAUAAAGUUGUUCUCAGUUCGGAUUGUAGUCUGCAACUCGACUACAUGAAGCUGGAAUCGCUAGUAAUCGUAGAUCAGCAUGCUACGGUGAAUACGUUCCCGGGUCUUGUACACACCGCCCGUCACACCACGAGAGUUUGUAACACCCGAAGCCGGUGGAGUAACCUUUUAGGAGCUAGCCGUCGAAGGUGGGACAAAUGAUUGGGGUGAAGUCGUAACAAGGUAGCCGUAUCGGAAGGUGCGGCUGGAUCACCUCCUUU